rnacentral:tRNA from 1 species
CUCUGGGUAGCUCAGUUGGAAGAGCGUCAGACUGUAAAUCUGAAUGUCACUGGUUCGAUCCCGGUCCCGGAGA